GUGAACAGUGGAGUAAGAUGAUGUCAUUUAUCAUCUGAAAAGUGUUUCUUUGGCUGCUCUAUAGAGAAUAGUCUAUUUAUGUCUACAUAACAGACAUCAAAUAGUGUCACUUUGUGUGCUCAGCAUAAAGGAGAGUAGAAAAGCAUAAUCUAAUCAUACUUCACAUUUAUAGAUCUGAGAUUGUUUUAUAAACCAAAUUGGUUUCAAAAUUUCCAGCCAAGUAUUAGGGCCCUUUAUCUUUUCCCAAUCACUUGGAGUGAAUUUUACUUGAGGACUUUAGAUAAAAAUAUAGUCAUUUCUAAUAAAAGAGAUAUCUAGUUUUAUAACAGUGAUUGGGACAAUUCCAAGGAAAAUGAUUUAUCAAAAUUAAUUCAUUUGAUGCCUUAGGAAACAUUUUAAAAUCAUGUGACUUCUUUGUUUUUAUUUUUUUUACAAAUAUUUUUGCAUUUAUUUAAAGGCUUUAAAGUUUUUUCAAUAUUCAUAAUUUUUUAUUACUUUUAUUUUUUUUUUUACAGUCCACUUGCUGCUCCCCUCUGGAUUCGCCCUCCAACAGUCCCUUAUCCCAUUCUUCCUCUCUCCUGCUUUCAAUAGAACUCCUCACACACACCCCCAAUAGGCCUCCCCAUUCCCUGGGGCCUCAAGUUUCUUGAGGGUUGGGCACAUCUUCUCCCAGUGAGGCCAGACCAGGUAGUAGUUGGCUGUUUAUGUGUCAGGGCUCUCAGACCAGCUCAGGCAUGCUGCUUGGUUGGUGGCUCAAUGAGAUAUCUGAGAUAUCUCAGGGGUCUGGGUUAGUUGAGACUGCUAAUUGGGGUUGCUCUUCUCCACAGGUUCUUCCAUUCUUUUCCUAAUUCAACCACAGGGGUCCCCAACUUCAGUCCAAUGGUUGGAUUAAGUAUCUGCAUCUGUCUCAGUCAGCUACUUGUUGGGCCUUUUGAAAGAUAGCCAUGCUAGACUCCUGUCUGUAAGCACAUCACAGCAUCAGUAAUAGUGUCAGUCCUUGGAGCCUCCCUUGAGAUGGGUCCCAAUUUGGACUGGUCACUGGACCUCCUUUCCCUCCGUCUCUUCUUCAUUGUUGUCUCUGCAGUUCUUUUGGACAGGAAAAAUUCUGGGUCAGAGUAUUUGACUGUGAGAUGACAACCCCAUCCUUCCAAUCGAUGUCCUGUCUUUCUACUGGAGGUGGUCUCUACAAGUUCCCCCUCUCCACUGUUGGGCUUUCAUCUGACAUUCCUUCCUUUGAAUUCUAAGAGUAUCUCACCUCCCAGGCCUCUGGUACUGUCUAGAGGGUCCCCCAUUUGCCACCCCCUGAGGUUGCAUAAUUCAUUCUGCUGGUCCACACAGCUUCUCUCCUGUCCCCACUUCCCCAUACCUGAUCAUGUUCACCUUUUUUCUUCCUCCUCCCUCUCCCGCCCAGAUCCCUUCCUCCUUCUGCAUCCUGUGAUUGUUCUCUUCCCCCUCCCCAAGUGAGAUUGUAGCCCUUCUGCUUGUUAACAUUCUUGAGUUCUGUGGACUGUAUUCUAGGUAUUCUGUACUUUCUGGCUAAUAUCCAAUUAUUAGCGAGUAUAUACCAUGCAUGUCCUUUUGGGUUCACAUGACUUUUUAAAAAUUAUUUCCUUGAUAUAAAAUUAAUACCUCCUAGGAUAUAGACUAUGAAAAUCACUUUGAUUUCAGUUAAGAAAAGGAUAGAUGAGUCAAGAAAUAGAAAGAUAUAGCACAAUGUCAAAGAAGAUGACAAUACCAGCCAGCAUCCUACACUAUCACUUCUUAGUGUCUACAACCAAACUUGAUAGAAAACAAGGAUUCACUGUUGUUCUACAUCCCAAAUUGAUCAGGCUCUGUCUAUUGAUUAAUGUAAACAAAAAUAAUAUUUUAAUCUGAGUUUUAACAUUUUUCAGAGCCUCUACAUAUUCCCUCAAAAGUAAACUACCUAUCUUCUUGGCAUUUUCAUAGUACUAUUAUUGACUUCUAUCUUAAUAUUCAUCACACUCUAUUAUUUAUGAAUCUUCACCCUAAUUAUGUGACUAGACUGAUAGCUGUUUGAAGGUAGGAAGUGUGUCUUAUUGAAAGGGUGCUAGCACUGUACUGACACUGAUGGUGGGCUGGGUGGACACUCACUGCUUAUGUGAGUGAAGGAGAACACAGAAACACAAGCUAGUGAUCAGCCGAGGUGAGGGCUAAUUCUCCUGAGAAAAGAGAAAGCUUCCUUGGCUAUUCAUCCAGACUGUCCUGUAGAAAUGUCUGUUUGGGCAGCCAGAGUAUCACCCAAAGGAUUAUGGGAGGAACAAAGAUGAAUAAUAGAGCAAUAGCAUGACCUUAGUCACUAACACCUUACAGCCAUGGCUGGCUGGCUGCAGUAAGGAAGGCUGCAUUGGCAGAGAGCAAAGAGUGAUUGCCUGUGAUCUCCAGAUAUAUUAUCCCCUCUGGGACAGUGUUUGAUACUGCAAUGAAUUCUCCUGUCUUUAUUUCCUCUAUUCCAUUUGGGUACCACGUAUAUUACUCUAUUCACUGUGCACUACCCACUGUCCUUUCAUUUGUUACACGUUGAGGGUAUAAGAAGUUUCAUCAAGCUCGCUGGCUUGAAACAGCACAAAUUUAGUGUCUUAUGGGUGAAAAUUAGUAGUACAAAGUAAGUUUCACUGGACUAACAUCAAGGCAUAACAUCAAGCCUUUAUGGCUCAGAAGGAAAUUGUGCUCAUUGCCUUUUCUAUUUUCUUAAGAAAGCUCUUACAACAGCUUUCAUUUGCUGGGCUAUUUUCCUUCUCCUUGCCCCAGAGGUAGAUCAUCUUUCACCUUCCUUCUGAAACAUAGCAUCUUGCAAUUCCUCUCUUACUCUACUUCUGUUCUCUGAUGCCCUUUUCUCACUCUUCUUAGAACCCCUGUGAUUACCUCCUGUCCAACUGAAUAAUCUCCCAACCCAUCUCAAAUAAGUGUCUCUAAUCUAACAAUAUUUACAAGUUACUCCUGUGAUGUAAGGCAACAUCUUCAUACAGUUCAGAAAUUGGAAUGCAGUUAGUCGGGGAGACUAUAUUCUACCUAGCAUAAGCCUUAAGAACCCUUUAGUAAAAAAUGAAUCAGAUUAUAUGAGAUUGGUACACACUUUACAAGUCUCUACCUAUACCAUAAUCUGGAAAAUAGGGCCCAAAGCUUCUUUCUUCCCCCAAAAAGAAACAGAGGUUGUACAAACACAGCUGUAAUCUAUUCAGAAACAUAACCUCUGGCCUCCAUUACUAGUUUUUACAGGCUAUUUUACAUCACAUCUGAAGAAAAUUUCUUCACAUUUCUCUGUACUAGUGCUAAUAUUAAAUGGUAGUAAGCAUAAUGAUGAAUGUAAAAUUUAUUAGUGAGCAUAUAAAAGUAUUAUAGGAAGAGUUAAUGCUAUUUAUAACCUAUAAUGAAUGUUGUUUUGAAAAUUAGGUUUCUAAUGUGGAGUAAAAAAAAAUAACAUGCUCAGAGCUACCUAACUACUGAUCAGUGUAGCUUUAAUUCCAAUUAAGUGUCUCUGAAUAACUUCAGAAAUUUGACUAGGUUUGAAGUCUUAAUUAUGUUAUUAUCCUUACUGAGCUUCAGGCUGCAUAGAUUCAAAAUAAUAGCAGAACCUGUACUAUAUUAUUCUUGUAAAAACACACAGCAUAUUAGAUAUAGUCUAUGUGUUUGUUACAGCAAUAGGUAGGUUUAGCAUGACAUUACAAAACAGUACUUUUAAUUGUAUAAUUGUGCUUUCAAUUUGAUUGAUAUUUUAUAUCAAGUUUCUGCAAAGACAUUACUUAUCUUUGUUUCCUUGAUUCAUGAGUGCUAAUUGUGUGCAUCAAAUAGGACUCAAUUCACCAUGCUCAUAGGUAAGGAACAGAAAACUGCCACAAAGAAAGAUGCCCAGAAAACUGAUGGUGUUGGUGAUGCCCAUCUGCAAUCCCACCAGUUGGGAAGCGAAGGCAAGAUAGCCAUGAAAUGAGACCCUUCAAUUUUAAGGCACCCACAGAAUUAGUUCUAGAUCCAAGUGUGACACACAUAGAACCCAAGUCUCCUGAAUCCAAGUCCUGGGUUUCUAUCUAUCGGUAUUAUUUACUAAUUCAGUAUCAUAGAACAUGUAAGAUGGACAUCAAGCUCGCUAUCCAUGAUACUGCACAGUAUCAAAGACAGAUCUAUCUGGCCUGUAUUAAAAAGUUGCUCAGUUUAAGCCUAUCUGCAAAUGGAUUAUUCACUCAGUCUGAGAACAGUCACAUGUUAGAUUUAACCUGUAGAUGCUGCUGCUGACAUCAUUGCAUGGACCCAUGUUACCCUGUGAACUCAAAAUCUCAGCUUCCACUCUUCAUAGGGGAUCUUUUGGGUCAUCACUUAGAUUUCUAGUGAAAGGCAAUGCUCUGGAAAGACUUCAGUACUAAAAGCGGCUUUGCAAAAUUUUGGCUUAAAACCCUGGAAAAAUACUGCAGAAGUUCUGACUAAUUAAAUCAAGUUUGAGUCUUAAGAAUAGAAAACUGUAAAGAUUAAAAAGAAUGUCGGCAAUUAUGUCCACACAAUCUCAGGUUUUUUUUCUGUUUGAAGUACAGCUUAAAUUGUGUCUUUGAUAAAUAAGUAAUGAGGUUUCAUUUGUGCAACUAAAAUAUCUAGUCAUAACAGUGUUUGAUAAUAAAAAGGAUUUCAUUAAUAAUUGAGAAUUAAUAAUGCCCACAACAGAUUUUAAUAGGCUAACCAUUUAGUUGUUAGGUAAAAUUUGACAUUGUAAUCAUGUCUAUAAUUUGCUUGAUGGAAAGAAGUAUUGAAAUAACCAUUCCCUUUCCCUCUGCACAGUAGAAGGUGGUGGGAAGAUGUGGGCUUCGAUG
rnacentral:lncRNA from 1 species